GAUGAACGCUAGCUACAGGCCUAACACAUGCAAGUCGAGGGGUAGCAUGAUAAAAGCUUGCUUUUAUUGAUGACGACCGGCGCACGGGUGCGUAACACGUAUCGAAUCUGCCUCACACUCGGGCAUAGCCUUCCGAAAGGAAGAUUAAUUCCCGAUAUGCCAAUGAAUCGCAUGGUUCGUUGGUGAAAGUUUUGUCGGUGUGAGAUGACGAUGCGUUCCAUUAGCUUGUUGGUGAGGUAACGGCUCACCAAGGCUUCGAUGGAUAGGGGUUCUGAGAGGAAGGUCCCCCACACUGGUACUGAGACACGGACCAGACUCCUACGGGAGCAGCAGUGAGGAAUAUUGGACAAUGGACCAAAAGUCUGAUCCAGCAAUUCUGUGUGCACGAUGAAGGUCUUCGGGAUUGUAAAGUGCUUUCAGUUGGGAAGAAGAAAGUGACGGGUACCAACAGAAGAAGCGACGGGCUAAAAUACGUGCCAGCAGCCGC
rnacentral:rRNA from 1 species